CAAUUUACAUUUAGGAUGUAAAUGACGGAUGCUAUUUUUUUGUUUCCAGUGUGGCUCCUUUUUCCUGAGCAGAUUCCUUCCCUCUCUCCCUUGCGUCCUACUACAGCCAGAAUUCCUCUGAAGCAACCAAGGUGGGAACGAUUCAGAGAGCAUGAUUACUUAUUUUCUGAAGAGAAAGCUACAUGGCUGAUCAGCCAAUUUGAUUGCGAAGAAUGGAAAUCAAAGCUUGUGAUCAUCAAUGACACAAAAGAACUGGAAUUUGUUAUUAACAAAACAGCAAUGGCUAAUUAUUUCAUUGGACUCACCUAUUCAGAAUCAACAAAAAAAUGGGAAUGGACUGAUCACAAAGAGCACAACAUGAACCUGUAUGUUUCAUUUUUUGCUACUUCUCUGUUUUAGGGAGGGAUCUAUUUUCCCCAUAUGCA
rnacentral:lncRNA from 1 species